rnacentral:rRNA from 1 species
AAGUAUAUAAAAGCAGAGAUCGAGUCUCGUACCUUUUGCAUCAUGAUCUAGCUAGCACCCUCAAGCGAAGAGACCUCUAGUUUGUUACCCCGGAACCGGACGAGCUACUCCGGGACAGCCUAUCGUAGGGCCAACCCGUCUCUGUGGCAAAAGAGUGGGAAGAUCCCCGAGUAGAGGUGAAAGACCAACCGAGUCAGGUUGUAGCUGGUUGCCCAGGAGAUGGAUAGGAGUUCAGCCUCACAAGCCCUUCCCCACCGACGGUUUUACCAACACCAGGUCGGAGGACAUUAGUGAGAGUUAGUCAAAGGGGGAACAGCUCCUUUGACAUAGGACACAACCUUUACAGGAGGCUAAGGAGCACAGUCUUAUAAAGGCCACGGGCUUCAGUGGGCCUGAAAGCAGCCAUCUGGAUAGAAAGCGUUAAAGCUCAGACCGACCCUGGCCUACGAUAACACUUAUCACCUUCAAUGCCCCUUAAGUUUACUGGGCCUCCCUAUGCCCCCAUAGGAGAGACCAUGCUAGAACGAGUAACAAGAAGAAUGAACUUCUCCCAGCACAUGUGUAAGUCGAGUCGGACCCACCGUCGACAACUAACGAACCCAGCAAAAGAGGGGCAUGCACCGCCAUCGCGUUAAGUCGGGAAAAACGUGCUAUGUUAGAUCGUUACCCCUACACAGGAGUGCUAGAGACGGGAAAGACUAAAAGGAUAAAAAGGAACUCGGCAAACCUAAACCUCGCCUGUUUACCAAAAACAUCGCCUCCUGCUCUUAUAACCAUAGGAGGUCGCGCC